rnacentral:rRNA from 1 species
UGGGGAAUUUUGGACAAUGGGGGAAACCCUGAUCCAGCCAUCCCGCGUGUGCGAUGAAGGCCUUCGGGUUGUAAAGCACUUUUGGCAGGAAAGAAACGUCAUGGGUUAAUACCCCGUGAAACUGACGGUACCUGCAGAAUAAGCACCGGCUAACUACGUGCCAGCAGCCGCGGUAAUACGUAGGGUGCAAGCGUUAAUCGGAAUUACUGGGCGUAAAGCGUGCGCAGGCGGUUCGGAAAGAAAGAUGUGAAAUCCCAGAGCUCAACUUUGGAACUGCAUUUUUAACUACAGGGCUAGAGUGUGUCAGAGGGAGGUGGAAUUCCGCGUGUAGCAGUGAAAUGCGUAGAUAUCCGGAGGAACACCGAUGGCGAAGGCAGCCUCCUGGGAUAACACUGACGCUCAUGCACGAACGCGUGGGGAGCAAACAGG